rnacentral:rRNA from 1 species
AGCGAACGCUGGCGGCAGGCUUAACACAUGCAAGUCGAGCGGGCAUCCUUGUGGUGUCAGCGGCAGACGGGUGAGUAACGCGUGGGAACGUGCCCUUCGGUUCGGAAUAACUCAGGGAAACUUGAGCUAAUACCGGAUACGUGCGAGAGCAGAAAGGUUUAUCUGCCGAAGGAUCGGCCCGCGUCUGAUUAGCUAGUUGGUGGGGUUAUGGCUCACCAAGGCGACGAUCAGUAGCUGGUCUGAGAGGAUGAUCAGCCACACUGGGACUGAGACACGGCCCAGACUCCUACGGGAGGCAGCAGUGGGGAAUAUUGGACAAUGGGGGCAACCCUGAUCCAGCCAUGCCGCGUGAGUGAUGACGGCCUUAGGGUUGUAAAGCUCUCUUCUCCGGGACGAUAAUGACGGUACCGGAGGAAUAAGCCCCGGCUAACUUCGUG